rnacentral:lncRNA from 1 species
UUAUGAAAUACUUGUUCAUUUGAGCACUACACCAAUCAUGUCAAGUACACGUACCCUGCAAGUGUUGGCUGUAUUCCUGAUAGUGUGUGUUCUGACUGAAUAUGUCUUUGCUGACGCCUUACCUGAUGAAAAUGAGCUUGUAGACCAAAGUAGAAUUCGCCGAGACCCAGG